CUUGCAUAGAAACUAACUUGGUUGUUGUCUAUUGAUGUUGCUGUUGGGUUCCAUGGAAACAGGUUCUAAGAUGGAAAUUUAUGUGCAGUAACAACUUGGAAGGAGUGAAGGAAGCAGGACUGGACAGAAGGUGAACUGCUAACCCCACAGGGACUCUGGACCUGGAUGGAUCAUCAGAGCGUCUUGGACUGAGGCAAGGUGGCUGGGCCUCUGUGCCCCUGCUUCCAUCAGGAGGAAGUCCUCACAGAGCUCACAUAGGAGGGUGAGUAUGAACAGAGGACCAAGGAGCAGACCCUGGGCCUCCGACACUUAAAGGCUGGGCGAGGGAAGAGACGCAGGGAAGGAGACUGAGACGAGGCAGGCGAGGAGGAAGAAACCAGGAGAGUGGUGUUGAGUUCCGGAUGCUCCACCGUGACUUUCAUUUGAUUUUCCCACGGGGAGAGAGUAACGUGACUAGCUGGCAAAUUUGGGAAGAAUAAACUGGGCAUGCUCAGCUCGUCCCUUGUUUUCCUCCCCUGGGUACCAGCCUGGCAAGAGAGAACACCUUUCUCCUCUGCUCCUUGGGGCCAGGGCAGUGCAAACAAAAAGGAAGAUGGCGUGGAGAUAUUGAUUUCAGACGUAGUAUGAAAUGGAAUGAAGGGCUAUUUUAUAUUGAUAAAUGAUCCAACUCGAUGGAGAGAAAAGAUCCACAAUAAAAGUUCUAAAAGUACUUGAUUAUGCAUAUAUAUGUGACUCUCUGCCUUUCCCCCAAUCCUGCUGGAAUUGUUACCGAACCUAAAGUGAGUUCACUCACCCGUUGUGCAGCAAGCCAAUCUCUGACACCAGGUGUGGUGGAAGAAAGUAGGAAUUUUAUUUUUGCACAGCGCUGAGCAAGGAGGGCGGGCAGCUAACGCUGAAAUCCCAAACUCCCUGAAAAGCUUAAAGGAAGGGUUUUUAUUUGGGGUUUUAGGUAGGGGAGGGGGAGCAUAUGGCGUUGCUGGUUGGAGCUUUCCCACCAGCCUGUCUUUGGUCUUGAGACUACUUGCAGAGAGGAGAGAGCUCAUGACCUUGCUGGUCAGCAGCUUUCCCACCAGCCAGUAUCUCUUUGCGGGAGGAGAUAGUCCAGGUGCUUGUCCUUGGCGGUGUCUGUCUCCAUGGAGGAGAGUGGAUUCUGCAGCCAGGAAGCCAGAGAGUAAGCAGGGAAUGAGUGUUUUGGUUUUAAUCCCAUAUAUGCUGGGUUUAAUGUGGGGAAACUGAUAUCUGGGUCGGUAUUAGAAUGACCAGUCUAAUCUAUAAAGUGGAGUUACUACGGGAAAUUGGGGAGAAUAAAGAGCCUCAACUAUCAAGACCUCACAGGAAAAACUAAGUUAAAAGGAAAGAUAGAUAUUGUGUUUGUGAAGAUUCUUUUGGUUGUGAGUAAAAAAAAAAACCCACGUGAACUCCGUGUUCCAGUUAUCUAUUGCUACAUAACAAACCAUCUCAAUUCUUAGAGGCUUAAAACAAUUCAUUAUUCUCUCUCAUGGUUCUGUGGGUUAAUUGGGCUCAGCCAGGUGGUCC
rnacentral:lncRNA from 1 species